GCCGCUGCCGCCUUUGUUCGGCCGAGCGGCGCCGGCAAGGGAGGGCGGCGGGUGGCAGGCUGGACGCUUCUCCCACACGAAGAUUGUUCCUCCGCCACUGGCAGACACGGAGUAACUUCACCGAAGUUAAUUUAGACCUUCAGUUCAGGUACUUGGGGUCAACACAUGCAGCCCUCUCAUGGCAGUUAAAAGGAUAGAGGGAGGAGAAUUUCCCCUCAUUCACAUCUCACUUAGAAUAGACUGACAGAAUUAAAAAUGACAAGUGACAGCCCAGCCUCUACCUCAGACAGAAGACCAACCCAUUGAAGCAGUGGUGAGAGAUCCUCCCACUGCAAGGCAAGCUGCAGCCAUGAGCUCAUCAUGCACAUCCAUGGACUUCAUCAUUUUCCAUAUCCCUCUAAUGUAACCAGCACCCUGGCCUUAGGAUGACAUUUAGGGGUACCUUACAUGAUUAUCCUUGUACACAAAUCUAUGCAUUUUGAGACACUGAUUUAUAAAUAAAUAAGCAUAUAAACUCCUGAUUUAUAAAUAAUAUCUAAAGUAAGAAACUAAUUUUAUAAACAUGGUUAUACCUGAUUAAACUCCUCUGACUCAAUAAGACUGCUCAAUGGGAGUAAAAAAUGUGCAUAAGAAAUUGUGUUGUCUGGAACUAGGUUAAGAACUUCUGGAAAUUAAUAUAAAACUAUUGCAUUCAAGACUGAUUUCUUCUUUAUGCUUUCCAAAAAACAUUAUUAUCAAAUCUUGUCAGUCCAUUAAAAUAUUUCACAACUUUUAAAAGGUUUUGAGAUUAAAAAAAUUAAACCCCCACCUAUUGAUAAUAACUGUCUUUCUAAAUCCAUAUUCUUAUAAGACCUAAUCAAUAGGUUUACUCAGAAACAGCUGACACCACUUAAAACUGUGUUAAUUAACACAGAUCCUCAAGGUCCAGUUCUAAUGGAGGCAAGCUCUGUCCGCCUUUAACAGAGCCUCAUUAUUGUUCACGCUACUUGAAUCUGCCAUUAACAGUAAGUCUCCAUCUCACAGCUGCUGCUAAACCUGUGGUCUACUUGCAUUCAAAGAGGAUUUCAGUUGUAUUUUGGCAUGGCAUAUGCUAUUCAGAAUAUCACCUGUAACUGUGAGUAAGAAUGACUGAGCUGGUUAGCUCUAAAAUCCUGUCUAUGGAAAGUUUGGGCUUUGCAUACGUUGUCUUUAUGUAAACUUAUGUGUAAGGAUUUAAAAAUGCAGACUGCUGCCUGUAUUACUGUGGCACUCAGAUUGAAUUAGGCACAGCAACUCGAAUACUAAGUGGUGUAGCCUUCAUCCCUGCCUCUACACCUGUAGGAUGUAUUUAGUUCUGAGGCCCUCCAGUCAGCUGACCAGGAGGUGUGAACUGGGAUCAGCAACAAA